AAACAGUCGUGCUGUGCUCCAUCUUGCCAGUGAUACACUCUCACUGGAGAGGAAGUCGCCUAUGGAGGUGCUGGCCCCAGAGCCUUCUGCUCCCAUCCUGACAUGCUCCCAUGUUGCCGUAUCAGGAGCCUGGGGUCUGCAAAGCGAAGAGGUUACCGUGUGGAAGGAGCUGGGAAGUGGCCCGUUUGGAGCAUCCUUCUGGGCAGGUGGAAGGGGCAGAAUGAUGUUCUGUUAAGGUGAUCAGGGAGCGCUCCAUGUCAGAAGAUGAAUUCUUCCAGGAGGCCCAGACCAUCAGAACAGUGGGCUGCACUCUGAGAAGUUCCUGUCUCUCCCCUGUAUCCUGACCAUCAUGUGGCAGGAGGAAUUGGUAGCAUUGUUGUUUUGCCUGUUGAAAUGUGUAAUAGGGCAGAUUCUUUCAGUUCCCUGACGUGGGUGAAGUGUGGAGCCCAGUGAUGACCUCUUUCUCCUAGCUCCCACACGAGGGUGAGCCCCCAUCCGACGGUGAGAGACCCUGCAUGUGUGUGACCUGUGUCUCCUGGGAGACCAGCCCUAGACUAGUUUGAACCUGUCCAGGUUUCGACUACAUGGUAGAUUUAGCCCUCUGUAAGUCCUAUCUACACAGAUGAUGUUUAGAUGAGACGAUGUGCUUUCUGAAAGAAAGUUACAUGGCUGGAAACAGCCCGGAGUUAAACUCCCCUCCGGGUCCUCCCCACCAUUCUAUGCAAAACAAAGAACUCUCUUACCC